rnacentral:lncRNA from 1 species
GUUUAAGAGAAAGCGGAAAAGCGUCUGAAUUUUUUUAAAAAAAAUCUGACCCCAGAGUAUGCCAGAUCAGCCACAAAUACAGAAAAUCCACUGUUCACACGGACAGAGUCUCCCCUGUAUUUGCACGGCGUCGCACAAGUACAAGAAGUCACCCAGGCACAACCACAACAAAUGAACAUACAAAUAACCAACCGUUAUAUAUAUUCAUAUACCAUUCACCACAGAUUCAUACUCAUGCAUUCAACAUUUAAACAUAAAUCCACACCUAUCAGUUAAAAUGUUUCCAACCACAGAAACAAGUUUUGAAAUACUAAGAUACAAAAUCACAGAAAACCUUUUGAAAGCUGUUCCCUACACGGGAACUUUUAUCUUUUAAAAACGCUACCACGAGGGGUAGAAAAUCUUUUAUUUUACAAAAUCCAGAAAUCCUUUUAUUUUAACGUAAUGAAAUACUGAACCACAUAAACCAACUAAACUAUACAUCAACAGAAAUAAAAUGGGUAAUAACUAAACCGAAAUAACCUGGGCCGGAAGCUCUAUCGACCGCUAUGUAUCUCACGUCUCGUCUCAACCCUUACCGCCCACAAUAUCUAAAAAAUAGUGGGGGAUGUGAGAAAAUGUAAACAUGUUUCCCCUCCCAGUGGGUACCGCAAGCCGAAGAAGGCGAGGAGUACUCACUGGAUCAGGAAGAGCUAUACAACAACACGGGUCAGUGGAAAUAUAGUAGCAACAAUAAUAAACGAAAGAGAUAUGUAAGGAGCUGACAAGUAUAGAUGCAGGUAAAUAAAACAGUAGCUACAAUAAAUAGAUAAGGAUGUACUGAAAAUAAACACUACAGUUACUGUAUGCAUGCGUCAACUGACGAUAACCUCAAAAGUACCCAAUCUCGCUGCCCUAUUGGUCCGAAGACCUCAGGCCUAUGC